rnacentral:rRNA from 1 species
GACGAACGCUGGCGGCGUGCUUAACACAUGCAAGUCGAACGGAAAGGCCCUGCUUUUGUGGGGUGCUCGAGUGGCGAACGGGUGAGUAACACGUGAGUAACCUGCCCUUGACUUUGGGAUAACUUCAGGAAACUGGGGCUAAUACCGGAUAGGAGCUCCUGCUGCAUGGUGGGGGUUGGAAAGUUUCGGCGGUUGGGGUUGGACUCCCGGCUUAUCAGCUUGUUGGUGGGGUAGUGGCUUACCAAGGCUUUGACGGGUAGCCGGCCUGAGAGGGUGACCGGCCACAUUGGGACUGAGAUACCGCCCAGACUCCUCCGGGAGGCGGCAGUGGGGAAUAUUGCACAAUGGGCGGAAGCCUGAUGCAGCAACGCCGCGUGCGGGAUGACGGCCUUCGGGUUGUAAACCGCUUUCGCCUGUGACGAAGCGUGAGUGACGGUAAUGGGUAAAGAAGCACCGGCUAACUACGUG